GUAAAGCGCGUUUUCCAUGCUGGAAAUUUUUUAGGGUGCAAUACGUGCUUUUCUUUCAGUUUCAGGCGACAUUUUAGGGCCGCCAACUCUAAGACUGGACAUUUAAAAUUAAUGUUAUGUUCUAUGUCAUUUGAUGAUCAUUUGUGGUGACGGAGGUAUAAAUAUGCAUGGCCUGCGUUCUAAUAUGUAUAGUAAUUUUUUGCUGAUAUACCCACAAUCAACGUGAUGUAUUUUAAAGUUUUGUUAGCGACCGUUACACUAUUCUUAUGGAGCUUUCCUUCAUCAGAGGCUAUAAAAUGUGGAAGUUGCUAUAGCAGUUCAGCUGAUUGUCGAAGUGGAAGUUUUACUUCCGAAAGCGAAUGUACCAAGGAUGAAUCGUUGUGCUUCUCGUUGGAACAGGCAAACCGUCUCGUUUUAAGAGGGUGUGCUGUUAAAAAUGGGAAAAGUACGGUUUGCGAGGCUUUAAAAGAGUAUUAUCCAUACAAAAGUUGCGAGGAAUGUUCAUCUGACAUGUGUAAUAAAUUUAAUUACGGAGAUUAGUCGUAUUCCGCAUAAUUUGUUGUUAUGGCCAAGGUUCCUACCCUACGGAAUGUGCAGAACCCACCAGCGAAACGGGAAGAUUUGAGGUAGGGCUUGCAGCUCGACGAAGUGGUGGGGAAGAAAGUAUUUAUAAUGGAGCGUUGGACUGGUGAGCAUCGCGGUUACCCAUUUAAAGUCUGUUAUCAAAAUGGUGACAACUGUUUUGGCACUACCACCCUUUUUUUUAGACGUCCACCCAGUUUGCUAGAUGUUGUUUACCCACUUUUUUUUAGCGCGAUACCGUUGUUAAAAUCGUCGGCACUAAACUUUCACCAUUUAGAUAAUAAGCUUUAACUACGUAACCGCAAUCCCCACCCGUCCAAAGCUCCAUUAUAAAUAAAUGCCAAACCACGCAGGUCUUGGCAAACCGGCUACGUUCUUCCUCGCGACCUGCCGCAAACCCCCACCUCAAAUUUUCCCGUUUCACUGGCGGACCCUGUAUUUUGAGCUAAAAUCAUCUAAAUAAAGCUAAUAACGCAGU